rnacentral:lncRNA from 1 species
GUCGCCCAAUUCCCCCAGCCCCCACCCUCGGCUGCUGCCCGAGCUUCCUCCACGCGCCGUGCAGUCUCCACGGCGACGCUGCGUUCCCGACUCGGAGCCCCCAGCUCCGCGCGAGCAGCUAGCCGGGCUGGCUCUCGGUGUGUGCCCUUCGGAUGGUCUGCUGAAGAGGGCCGCCAGCUGGUAAGACACUCCGAGGCAACGACCGGUCUCCCUCUCCCUAGCCCGGUGUGCAGUCUGACCCAGCCCCCACAGCAGACCACCCCCAGACCGGGCGCCCGAGUCUGCGGACCGCUCUACCGCACCUGGUUCUGGCUCUGGGCCCCGGGCCCCGUGGCUGCCAGGGGCCGCCGGGAAGGGAGGAUGCGCGCCACUGGGGUGCGCCUGGCUUGCGGCACCCUCCUCCCGCAGUGGUCGGAAGAGGACUUCUGUAGACAAGACAGAUACUGUAAAGACAGCAAAGAACAAACAGAAUGGCAGAUUGCUAAUGUUUGAUCCAAACGAAAAAGUGAUGAUUGAAUCAAACGAAGCAAUGUCAGAGUAAGAAGAUGUCUUUGAUUGUGCAGCUGAUCUCUCCCAUGCCUUUUAAGCAAUUAGAACUAGAUAAUGCAGCCAUUUGUCACCCAAUUAAAUUUGAAAGGCCAGAAAUGCAUGGAUUAGCACUUCAGCUUUUGCUGCAGUCAAAGCAAUUGUUACUGAAGGAAGUCCCUUCUAAGAAUAUUGCAAAUAAAGUCUCUUUACAGACUACUGAAAAUAGAGUAUCUUCAAGGAGUAUCGAAAGUAAAGAUAUCUUAACAAAUCUACAGUCUGACCUAUUGUCAUCUUCCUGCUUAAAAGAAAGCACAGGUGUGAAGUGAGCAAAGAUGCAGUCAUUGUAAAGCAGGAGAAAAAUAAUGAAUAUUGCCUUCAGGAUAUUGAUGAUAAAUUGUCAGAAUCAGCAGAGGAUGAUGGUGAAGAUGAUACCAAUGAUGAAGAUGAUGAUGAAGAUAGUAACCCUAAAAAGAAUACUCAGGCCCCACUAGAGUUAAUGGCAGAAGUAAGUUUUACUUGUGCAUAUAAUUGAAGAAACUUUAAAAUAUUGAAAUAACUAAAGACUGAAGAUUUAAAAUCACUACUGUGAGAACUAAAAAAGUAGAUCUCAUGGAGGCAGAACAUAGAAUGGUGGUUACCAGAAGCUGGACGGGAAGAAGGGAGAUAAAGAGAAGUCCAUUAAGGGGCACAAAAAUACAGUUAGAUGGAAGGAAUAAAUUCUAGUAUUCAGUAGUACAGUAGGGAAGUUAUAGUUAACAGUAGUUUAUUGUAUACUUUAGCCAGAAGAGAAAAA